GGAGGCUACAGCUCAAGUGGUAGAGUGCAUGUUUAGCAUGCACGAGGUCCUGGGUUCAAUCCCCAGUACCUCCU
rfam:Camelus ferus unplaced genomic scaffold scaffold1982, whole genome shotgun sequence.